rnacentral:misc_RNA from 1 species
GUUCCAGCUUCGAUAUUCUUUCAGGUAAGCAAACCUUAAUUUAUUGUAAAUUCUUUCUUUGUUUUCAGUUUUUGAUGUUUCUACCUUAUCCUUGUGCUGCAAUUCUUAUCAAGUUUUGUUCUUUUUCAUUGUUGGCUUUUAGUUUUUCAUUUUCUAGGUUUUCUUGACUUGUUGAAUUCAUUAUCUUGACACGUUAUUCUUGAUUCUGCAUUUUGUUGGCUAUCUUUGUUCCUGCUCUUGUAAUUGCUGGACAAAUAAAGCAAAUCCCUUUGUUGUUUUGUUGUUUGUUUUCAAUCUGUUUAAGGCGCCAGAAAUGAGAGGUUCUAGGAGCUGCGAAUUUGUUGACUUGGCUUUAUUAUUUGGAUUAGCUUUAUGUUUCCAUCUUUUCUCUCAAUGGGUCCUAAAAAGACAAAUGUUAUAUUAGGUCUGAUUAACAAAAUGGUAUUUGUAAGGGUAGUUUCUGAGCUCCUUCAAUGGCUGAUAUCUUAGUUAUCAUUUGAAGGGACAAAUAUUCAAUGAGGUCUCAGUCAUAAAGCAUGUGAAAUGGUAAAGCUUCAAUCACCGAAAGUUUAAUCAUGUUUAAUUAUUCUGUCUUAGAUUUUAGUACAAGAGAAAUGUGGCCCUCCAAUAUCCAAAAGGGCCUUCUCACCGUUUGGUAUGAGAGUAAUUUAAUAGUUCUUCUCAUUAGUAGGUUGCUGCCAUGAACUUUUUAAAGAAAAAACAACAGUUCUUUUUCUUUUCGUGAAUGGAAAUGGAACUGGUAGACAUUAAGCAGUGUUAAAAUAGAAAAUAAAUAAAAGGAAGUAAAAGGCAUUUUUGCUCCAAUGGGAUGCAGAAUUGCAGAUUGAAUAGAAUCUCAUGAAUAACUAGCUGUUAGUUUGUGUUAUUUAUUAUAGAUUGCAAUAGUUGUAAGUAAUAGUAUGCACCUUACCAUGCUGCAAAAUGAU